rnacentral:rRNA from 1 species
UUGUGAGGCGAGCUGAGGAGCAGACCGCGUGAGGGAGGAAGGCUCUUGGGUUGUAAACCUCUUUUCUCAGGGAAGAACACAAUGACGGUACCUGAGGAAUCAGCCUCGGAUAACUCCGUGCCAGCAGCCGCGGUAAUACGGAGGAGGCAAGCGUUAUCCGGAAUUAUUGGGCGAAAAGCGUCCGCAGGUGGUUUUUCAAGUCUGCGGUCAAAGACUGGGGUUUACCCCUGGAAAGGCCGAGAAAACUGACGAGGUAGAGUGGAGUAGGGGUAGAGGAAAUUCCCGGUGAAGCGGAGAAAUGCGAAAAGAUCGGAAAAAACAUCGGGGGAGAAAGCGCUCUGCUGGACUGCAACUGACACUGAGGGACGAAAGCUAGGGGAGCGAAUGGUAUUAGAUACCCCAGUAGUCCUAGCCGUAAACGAUGGAUACUAGGUGUGGAUUGUAUCGACCCGAGCCGUGCCGAAGCUAACGCGUUAAGUAUCCCGCCUGGAGAGUACGCACGCAAGAGUGAAACUCAAAGGAAUUGACGG